GACGAACGCUGGCGGCGUGCUUAACACAUGCAAGUCGAACGGAAAGGCCUGCUUUCCCUUGUGGAUUGCGGGUACUCGAGUGGCGAACGGGUGAGUAACACGUGAGUGAUCUGCCCCCAACUUGGGUAUAAGCCUGGGAAACUGGGUCUAAUUCCCGAUAGGACUGCAGGGUGGUGCCUGUGGUGGAAAACGAUUUUCUAGUGGUUGGGGAUGAGCUCGCGGCCUAUCAGCUUGUUGGUGGGGUAAUGGCCUACCAAGGCGGCGACGGGUAGCCGGCCUGAGAGGGUGGACGGCCACAUUGGGACUGAGAUACGGCCCAGACUCCUACGGGAAGCAGCAGUGGGGAAUAUUGCACAAUGGGCGGAAGCCUGAUGCAGCGACGCCGCGUGGGGGAUGACGGCCUUCGGGUUGUAAACUCCUUUCGACCGCGAGGAAGCCACCUGGUUGGAAGGGUGGUGACGGUAGUGGUAGAAGAAGCACCGGCUAACUACGUG
rnacentral:rRNA from 1 species